GAUGAAGAACGUAGCGAAAUGCGAUAAGUAAUGCGAAUUGCAGAAUCCGUGAGUCAUCGAAUCUUUGAACGCACAUUGCGCCCGCUAGUAUUCUGGCGGGCAUGCCUGUUCGAGCGUCAUUACAACCCUCAGGCCCCCGGGCCUGGCGUUGGGGAUCGGCGGAAGCCCCCUGCGGGCACAACGCCGUCCCCCAAAUACAGUGGCGGUCCCGCCGCAGCUUCCAUUGCGUAGUAGCUAACACCUCGCAACUGGAGAGCGGCGCGGCCACGCCGUAAAACACCCAACUUCUGAAUGUUGACCUCGAAUCAGGUAGGAAUACCCGCUGAACUUAAGCAUAUCAAUAAGCGGAGGA
rnacentral:misc_RNA from 1 species